UACGAAGGGGGCUAGCGUUGCUCGGAAUCACUGGGCGUAAAGGGUGCGUAGGCGGGUCUUUAAGUCCGGGGUGAAAUCCUCCCGCCCAACGGGAGAAGAGCCUCGGAGACUGGGGGCCUCGAGGGAGGUAGGGGCGUGCGGAACUAUGGGUGGAGCGGUGAAAUGCAUUGAUAUCCAUAGGAACUCCGGUGGCGAAGGCGGCACGCUGGACCUCUUCUGACGCUGAGGCGCGAAAGCCAGGGGAGCAAACGGG
rnacentral:rRNA from 1 species